GCCGCAGCUAACGCAAUAAGCACUCCACCUGGGGAGUACGACCGCAAGGUUGAAACUCAAAGGAAUUGACGGGGGCCCGCACAAGCGGUGGAGCAUGUGGUUUAAUUCGAAGCAACGCGAAGAACCUUACCAAGGCUUGACAUCCCGAUGACCGUCCUAGAGAUAGGACUUCUCUUCGGAGCAUCGGUGACAGGUGGUGCAUGGUUGUCGUCAGCUCGUGUCGUGAGAUGUUGGGUUAAGUCCCGCAACGAGCGCAACCCUUAUCUUCAGUAGCCAUCAUUCAGUUGGGCACUCUGGAGAGACUGCCGUGGAUAACACGGAGGAAGGUGGGGAUGACGUCAAAUCAUCAUGCCCCUUAUGUCUUGGGCUACACACGUGCUACAAUGGCUGGUAACAAAGUGACGCAAGACGGCGACGUUAAGCAAAUCACAAAAACCCAGUCCCAGUUCGGAUUGUAGUCUGCAACUCGACUACAUGAAGCUGGAAUCGCUAGUAAUCG
rnacentral:rRNA from 1 species